GAUGAACGCUGGCGGCGUGCCUAAUACAUGCAAGUCGAGCGAACGGGCGAGAAGCUUGCUUCUCUGAUGUUAGCGGCGGACGGGUGAUUAACACGUGGAUAACCUACCUAUAAGACUGGGAUAACUUCGGGAAACCGGAGCUAAUACCGGAUAAUAUUUUGAACCGCAUGGUUCAAAAGUGAAAGACGGUCUUGCUGUCACUUAUAGAUGGAUCCGCGCUGCAUUAGCUAGUUGGUAAGGUAACGGCUUACCAAGGCAACGAUGCAUAGCCGACCUGAGAGGGUGAUCGGCCACACUGGAACUGAGACACGGUCCAGACUCCUACGGGAGGCAGCAGUAGGGAAUCUUCCGCAAUGGGCGAAAGCCUGACGGAGCAACGCCGCGUGAGUGAUGAAGGUCUUCGGAUCGUAAAACUCUGUUAUUAGGGAAGAACAUAUGUGUAAGUAACUGUGCACAUCUUGACGGUACCUAAUCAGAAAGCCACGGCUAACUACGUG
rnacentral:rRNA from 1 species